GAAUCAGCCGGNCUCCGAAUGCACUAGAGCUUAAUUUGAUCAUGGCUCAGAGUGCCACGCUGGUAGUAGGCCUAACACAUGCAAGUCGAACGGCAGCACAGGAGAGCUUGCUCUCUGGGUGGCGAGUGGCGGACGGGUGAGGAAUACAUCGGAAUCUACUCUGUCGUGGGGGAUAACGUAGGAAACUUACGCUAAUACCGCAUACGACCUACGGGUGAAAGCAGGGGAUCUUCGGACCUUGCGCGAUUGAAUGAGCCGAUGUCGGAUUAGCUAGUUGGCGGGGUAAAGGCCCACCAAGGCGACGAUCCGUAGCUGGUCUGAGAGGAUGAUCAGCCACACUGGAACUGAGACACGGUCCAGACUCCUACGGGAGGCAGCAGUGGGGAAUAUUGGACAAUGGGCGCAAGCCUGAUCCAGCCAUACCGCGUGGGUGAAGAAGGCCUUCGGGUUGUAAAGCCCUUUUGUUGGGAAAGAAAUCCAGCCGGCUAAUACCUGGUUGGCGAUGACGGUACCCAAAGAAUAAGCACCGGCUAACUUCGUGCCAGCCAGGCCUGCGGGGUAAUUACGGAAAGUGGUCGCAAGC
rnacentral:rRNA from 1 species